rnacentral:piRNA from 1 species
UGGAAAGCUUGGGGGCUGAGAGAAAU